CGGAGGGUGCGAGCGUUGUUCGGAUUUAUUGGGCGUAAAGAGCGUGUAGGCGGUCUAUUAAGUCUGAUGUGAAAGCCCCGGGUUCACCCCGGGAAGUGCAUUGGAAACUGGUAGACUUGAAUUCGGCAGGGGGCAGUGGAAUUCCUGGUGUAGAGGUGAAAUUCGCAGAUAUCAGGAAGAACACCUGUGGCGAAGGCGGCUGCCUGGACCGAUAUUGACGCUGAGACGCGAAAGCGUGGGGAGCAAACAGGAUUAGAUACCCUGGUAGUCCACGCCGUAAACGAUGAGUACUGGGUGUUGCGGGUAUUGACCCCUGCAGUGCCGUAAGCUAACGCAUUAAGUACUCCGCCUGGGAAGUACGGCCGCAAGGCUA
rnacentral:rRNA from 1 species